rnacentral:rRNA from 1 species
UGCUUCUCUGGAUGAGUUGCGAACGGGUGAGUAACGCGUAGGUAACCUGCCUGGUAGCGGGGGAUAACUAUUGGAAACGAUAGCUAAUACCGCAUAAUAGUAGAUGUUGCAUGACAUUUGCUUAAAAGGUGCAAUUGCAUCACUACCAGAUGGACCUGCGUUGUAUUAGCUAGUUGGUGAGGUAACAGCUCACCAAGGCGACGAUACAUAGCCGACCUGAGAGGGUGAUCGGCCACACUGGGACUGAGACACGGCCCAGACUCCUACGGGAGGCAGCAGUAGGGAAUCUUCGGCAAUGGACGGAAGUCUGACCGAGCAACGCCGCGUGAGUGAAGAAGGUUUUCGGAUCGUAAAGCUCUGUUGUAAGAGAAGAACGAGUGUGAGAGUGGAAAGUUCACACUGUGACGGUAUCUUACCAGAAAGGGACGGCUAGCUACGUGCCAGCAGCCGCGGUAAUACGUAGGUCCCGAGCGUUGUCCGGAUUUAUUGGGCGUAAAGCGAGCGCAGGCGGUUAGAUAAGUCUGAAGUUAAAGGCUGUGGCUUAACCAUAGUACGCUUUGGAAACUGUUUAACUUGAGUGCAAGAGGGGAGAGUGGAAUUCCAUGUGUAGCGGUGAAAUGCGUAGAUAUAUGGAGGAAC